rnacentral:rRNA from 1 species
UACGUAGGGGGGCAAGCGUUGUCCGGAAUCAUUGGGCGUAAAGGGUGUGUAGGUGGCGCGCUAAGUCGGGUGUGAAAUUUUGGAGCUUAACUCCGAAACUGCAUUCGAUACUGGCGUGCUUGAGGACUGGAGAGGAGACUGGAAUUCAUGGUGUAGCAGUGAAAUGCGUAGAGAUCAUGAGGAAGACCAGUGGCGAAGGCGGGUCUCUGGACAGUUCCUGACACUGAGACACGAAGGCCAGGGGAGCAAACGGG